rnacentral:rRNA from 1 species
CGACCAGACUCCUACGGGAGGCAGCAGUGGGGAAUAUUGCACAAUGGGGGGAACCCUGAUGCAGCGACGCCGCGUGGGCGAGGAAGUAUUUCGGUAUGUAAAGCCCUAUCGGCAGGGAAGAAGAAAUGACGGUACCUGAAUAAGAAGCCCCGGCUAACUACGUGCCAGCAGCCGCGGUAAUACGUAGGGGGCAAGCGUUAUCCGGAUUUACUGGGGGUAAAGGGGGCGCAGACGGCAGCGCAAGCCAGGAGUGAAAGGCCGGGGCGCAACCCCGGGACUGCUCUUGGAACUGGGCGGCUGGAGUGCAGGAGGGGCAGGCGGAAUUCCUGGUGUAGCGGUGAAAUG